CUCAACCUGGGAAUUGCAUGGAGACUGCAAGGCUAGAAUCUGGCAGAGGGGGGUAGAAUUCCACGUGUAGCAGUGAAAUGCGUAGAUAUGUGGAGGAACACCGAUGGCGAAGGCAGCCCUCUGGGUCAAGAUUGACGCUCAUGCACGAAAGCGUGGGGAGCAAACAGGAUUAGAUACCCUGGUAGUCCACGCCCUAAACGAUGUCUACUAGUUGUCGGGUCUUAAUUGACUUGGUAACGCAGCUAACGCGUGAAGUAGACCGCCUGGGGAGUACGGUCGCAAGAUUAAAACUCAAAGGAAUUGACGGGGACCCGCACAAGCGGUGGAUGAUGUGGAUUAAUUCGAUGCAACGCGAAAAACCUUACCUACCCUUGACACGGCUGGAAUCCUCGAGAGAUCGGGGAGUGCUCGAAAGAGAACCA
rnacentral:rRNA from 1 species